rnacentral:rRNA from 1 species
AUUGAACGCUGGCGGCAGGCUUAACACCUGCAAGUCGAGCGAGCGGCGGACGGGUGAGUAAUGUCUGGGAAACUGCCUGAUGGAGGGGGAUCACUACUGGACACGGUAGCUAAUACCGCAUACCAUCAGAUGUGCCCAGCUGGUAUUAGCUAGUAGGUGGGGGAAUGGCUCACCUAGGCGACGAUCCCUAGCUGGUCUGAGAGGAUGACCAGCCACACUGGAACUGAGACACGGUCCAGACUACUACGGUAGGCAGCAGUGGGGAAUAUAGAACAAUGGGCGCAAGCCUGAUGCAGCCAUGCCGCGUGUGUGAAGAAGGCCUUCGGGUUGUAAAGCACUUUCAGCGAGGAGGCGUUACCGACAGAAGAAGCACCGGCUAACUCCGUGCCAGCAGCCGCGGUAAUUC